AAGUGAGAACGUUCAGUAUUUGACUUUUGGUUCCUGAAUUAAAUGUAUUUCUUUAAUUCACAGGUCUUCAGAUUGAGAGGAGCAGAACAUGAGGUACUGAACUCAAGAGGUCUCACGUGCACUUGGACCUGAUUUACAUGACAAGUUCUCCCCCAUUGGCAUGCUGAUAAAUGAGAGUCUGAAGCUUUGACAUAAAAACCUAAACUCUACCUGUGUACAGAACAGAAACAGAAUGAGAGCGAAAAAACAACUAUACUGAAAGCAAAUUGAAGAGAAUUGUGAACUUUCUUCUGAAUGCAUAUAUUUUGCUCGACAAGUUUAGCUUCCAUAAAAAUCUGAAAUCUAGAA
ensembl:lncRNA novel transcript